UCACUACUUGCGUAGGCAGUCCUCUUAGAGUGCUCGGCAUUACCCGGUGGCAACUAAGAACAGGGGUUGCGCUCGUUGCGGGACUUAACCCAACACCUCACGGCACGAACUGACGACGACCAUGCACCACCUGUAUACCGACCUUGCGGGGAGAACAUUUCUGAACUUUUCCGGUAUAUGUCAAGCCUUGGUAAGGUUCUUCGCGUUGCAUCGAAUUAAUCCGCAUGCUCCGCCGCUUGUGCGGGCCCCCGUCAAUUCCUUUGAGUUUCAGCCUUGCGGCCGUACUCCCCAGGCGGGGCACUUACUGCGUUAGCGACGGCACUCAGAGGGUCGCUCCCCCAAGCACCUAGUGCCCAUCGUUUACGGCGUGGACUAC
rnacentral:misc_RNA from 1 species